rnacentral:rRNA from 1 species
GAUGAACGCUGGCGGCGUGCCUAAUACAUGCAAGUCGAGCGAACGGACGAGAAGCUUGCUUCUCUGAUGUUAGCGGCGGACGGGUGAGUAACACGUGGAUAACCUACCUAUAAGACUGGGAUAACUUCGGGAAACCGUAGCUAAUACCGGAUAAUAUUUUGAACCGCAUGGUUCAAAAGUGAAAGACGGUCUUGCUGUCACUUAUAGAUGGAUCCGCGCUGCAUUAGCUAGUUGGUAAGGUAACGGCUUACCAAGGCAACGAUGCAUAGCCGACCUGAGAGGGUGAUCGGCCACACUGGAACUGAGACACGGUCCAGACUCCUACGGGAGGCAGCAGUAGGGAUUCUUCCGCAAUGGGCGAAAGCCUGACGGAGCAACGCCGCGUGAGUGAUGAAGGUCUUCGGAUCGUAAAACUCUGUUAUUAGGGAAGAACAUAUGUGUAAGUAACUGUGCACAUCUUGACGGUACCUAAUCAGAAAGCCACGGCUAACUACGUG